rnacentral:rRNA from 1 species
UACGAAGGGGGCUAGCGUUGCUCGGAAUCACUGGGCGUAAAGCGCACGUAGGCGGCUUUCUAAGUCAGGGGUGAAAUCCUGGAGCUCAACUCCAGAACUGCCCUUGAUACUGGAAAGCUUGAGUUCGGGAGAGGUGAGUGGAACUGCGAGUGUAGAGGUGAAAUUCGUAGAUAUUCGCAAGAACACCAGUGGCGAAGGCGGCUCACUGGCCCGAUACUGACGCGGAGGUGCGAAAGCGUGGGGAGCAAACAGG